CCGGUGGUCGCCUCGCCCGUGCCCGCUGCGCUCCCGCGCCGUUAGGGAGGGCAGGAGGCUGAUUUCCCCUUCCAUCUCGGGAUAUUCCUGCAGGAAGCACACCUAACUUUAAGCUACUGCAGGUUCUGAAGUCAGAAAAAAGUUCUUUACGUCGAGGUGCUCUGCAGCUUGAUGUUUCCUAUCUUUUCCCAGUUGUGCUCAGGAAAGAAGAUGGCUCAUCCCAUCCCUCUCCCCUUUCCAUGCCCAGUCAAGCUUGGAAGUGUCAAAGGAGACUCCCUGGAAGCUGACCUGCAUGAGUAUGUCAGGGAAGGGAACUAUGUGAAAGUGAAGAAGCUUCUGAAAAAAGGAGUUUUUGUGGAUGCUGUGAAUUCCAUGGGCCAGACCUGUCUGUUCACUGCUGCUCUGCUGGGGCUGGGUAAAAUUGUGGAUGUGCUGCUGGAAUACGGCUCGAAUGCCAAUCACCGCUGCCGGGACGGGAGCACGCCGGUGCACGCGGCCGCGUUCUCGGGGAGCCGCGCCGUGCUCAGCCGCCUGCUGGAGCGGGGCGGGGAGCUGCGCGUGCACGACAGCCAGGGCAGGAGCCCGCAGCUCUGGGCUCUGUCUGCCAGCAAGGACAGCAGCGCUCAGAUGCUGGAAUUUAUGCAGCAGUGCUCGCUGUGCAUGCAGGCUGCCAUUUGGAAUCUUCCCUCUGACCUGCUCAGGAAGGUUGGCUCCACAAGGGCCUUGAUCUGCAGCCCCUCGAGGUUUGGUGGCCUUGUCCAAGGGAAUGCUGAGAUUCCUGUGGGGAAAUUUCUGAAAGGACAACCCAGCGUGGCCAGGAACAUUUACAGCUUUGGUUUUGGGAAGUUCCACCUGGCAGGCAGUGGCCACCUGGGCUACCUGGCCUCCCUGCCAAUAAUUGGGGACAAAGAUUUGGUUCAGGCUGAUGAUGAAGCAGCAUUUUCUUACCACGUGGGGCCCUACAUGAUCAUGACCAACGGGAGGCAGCGCCAGAGCACCACAGAAAAUUCUUGCCUGAUGUGGGGAGGCAGCAGGGUGACAGUGAAGGAGCUGAGCCUCCAGCCCCAGCAGAGGAGCUGGAAACUGCGCCUGGCUGAUCUGCUGCUGGCAGAGCAGGAGCACAGCAGCAAGCUCCGCCACCCUCACUUGCUGCAGCUGAUGUCUGUCUGUCUGUCCUGUGACCUGGAGAAAACUCGUCUGGUCUAUGAGAGGGUUCACUUUGGCUCUCUCUACAGCAUCCUCCAUGAAAGGCGCGCGGAGUUCCCGGUGCUGCAGACGGCGACCCUGCUGCACAUCCUGCUGCAGGUGCUGGACGCGCUGCGCUUCCUGCACGGCCGCGGCUUCCUGCACCGCUCCCUGUCCUCGCUCGCCGUCCAGGUGGUGGCCUCGGGGGAGGGCAAGCUCUGCAACCUGGAGUACAUGAUAGAGAGCAAGGACAGUGGGGAGCACAGUGACCUGACCCGAAUCCCUGUGCCAGCCCAGCUGUUCCGCUGGAGCUCCCCUGAAAUCAUCCUGGGCAAGCCUGGCACGGUCAGGUCAGAUGUUUACAGCUUCUGUGCAGUGCUGCAGGAGGCCCUGACAGAGAGCCCUCCCUGGAAAGGUGUGGAAGACUCAGCUGUGAAGCAGCUCGUCCUUUCAGGGGAGCAGCUGGGAGCAGAUGUCAGGCUGCCCCUGCUCUACUAUGAUGUUGUCAAGUCAGGGCUGGAACCCAAACCCAGGAACCGCUCCAUGAAGCUUCAGGAUAUUCAAUAUGUCCUGAAAAAUGACCUGAAGGUGAUUCCCAGCCUGCUCAUUUUGAUGUGUCCAUUCAGCUUCUGCUUAAAUCUAGAGGAGGACUUGGUUAAAUCUGAAGGCGGCCACGCUGGUGGAACACUCAAAGCCCAGAGGUCUGCUGUUCUUGCAGAUGUGAACAUCUGCUGGGCAUCAUCUUUUAGCUUCCAGAAGAGAACAGUGGAACUCCAGGAAAAAGAGAUGAGCAAGGCUGGUGGCUUUCCUGCCCCCAAGGACUCUGUUUUCCCCAAGGAGAGCAGGGCUGUGGUGCUGCAGGAGGCAGCAGCCAGUGCAGAGCCCCCAGUGCAGGACAGCAGCCUCGGGGUCUCUGAGCAGCAUUCUGGAGCUUCUCCCUGCAGUGAGAGCGAUGUGGAUGGCAGCCUGUGCAGCUUUGAGAUGAAUGAAAUCCUGGCCAGUUACCCAGAAGGUCCCCAAGACUUCCUGGAGGGAGGACCUGGGUCAGGCCAGGCCCUAAAGGAUGCAGAAAUGCAAGAGCAGAGCCAGUGGGAGGGUGAGGAUGAAGGGGAAUCCUCGGGGUCCAGCACAGGCUUCACUGGAGAGGAGGAAGAGGAGGAGGAGGAGGAAGAAGAAGAGGAGGAGGAGGAGGAAGAAGAGGAAAGGGUGAGAGAAGGCUCUGGGCUGUCCCAGGUGAGAGGAGCUGCUGGCAGGAGGCUGAGCAGCCCCUCCCAGAGCGAGCAGCACAUCAGCAGAUGUGUCCUGAACCUCAAGAUCAUGCAGAGCAUGCUGCAGCAGGCUGGGCAUUCCCUGAGCAGGACAGAGGAGAAACUGGACAGGCUGAAGGCCAUGGCAAAGCAGAAGAGGCUGCUCCAGGAGGUCAGGAUGAAUCUGCUUCCCAAGGAAAGUUCUCAGGGAAGGCGCUGGGAUGGCUCUGAUGCUGCUUCCCAAAACACCAUGAAGGCUCUUUCUGGAGUUGAUAUUUUUUUACACCAGGCUGUGGCUCCACCAUCCAGGGACUACAUUCCACCUCCAGUAACGUGUCAGGCACCAGGCAGAGACAGCUUCCAGGCUGUUCCCCAGACAGCCAAGGAAAGGGAGGCAAUUCAGAAUGAGAAGUGGAAGAGCAAAAUUGCAGCCACCCAUUGUGAUCCAGGCUGCAGCACAGGCAGAGGGCUGGAUGGUGAAGGGAGCCUAAACCAGGAGCAUUGCCUCCCACACGUGUCUGCAAGAAGCCAGAAAAAGUUCAACCUGCAGUGGCAGAGAGGAGCUGAUUCACAUCCUGCAGCAAGAAGGGAAGAGGAGAAGUGGUGCCAUUCAAAACCCAGGGUGGAAUUCUGCAGCAAAAAAAGCAUUGAGAAGAGGAGGGUGGUGCAGUCAGGAUGGAGGACUGAAGUCAAGCAGAUGGCCAGAAGAGUGGCCUCAGGUCGGCUGGGGCUCAGCUGCCCCUACCCUGGCAGCGAGUGCCCGUCUGAAGCAGAAGGUGCCAAGGAGCCCCCCCAGGAGGUGCCUGCUGGAGCCCCCCAGAGCCAGGGGCAGCCAGGUGAGCCCUGGGACCCGGGCUCUGAGGACACAGCCGACUCUGGGGACAGUGAUCUGGACAGGACUUCCACAGGGAGGAGCUGCCAGUCCCCAGCACCAGAUGAGCAAGCAGAGUCUGGAAAAUCCAUUCCUAAGAGUUCAGUGCUUCCUCAGCAAGCUGAGAAUCUCUCUAGAGGGCAUUCAAGGGAAUUACAUUGUUCCCUUAAUUCACCUCCUGAUGUGACUGAAGAAUUCUUCACUCCUGAUUAUUUCCUUCCUCCUGCUCUUGAGGGAAGGUCAGAACCAGAGACCUCAGACACUGAGGGCAAAGCAGAAGAUGUUUGUGCAGGAUUUUUACAGAACUUACCUGCAGAUGCAGCAUCAGCAAUUCAGGCUCCAGGAGGAAAAAUACUAUUCUGCAGCACAACACCACAGAGCUGUGGCAGUAACAAGCUGGGAGUGAAUCAGCUGAGCCAAAUGCCUGGAGCCAGUGUGGAUGCAGCACGAGAAGCGACGCUGUGGGAGCCACAGGAAGAAUGCCAAGAAAAAGAUGUAUCAGUGGCAGAUAUUCAGGAUUUGUCCAGCAUCCCCUGUGAGCAGAACUUCCAGAGGGGUGUGGAGUGUAAAACACCUCGGCUGAGCCACGCUCCCACCAGUGUCAGCACCCCCCUGGGCUCAGAUGAAAAAUUUCCAUUAGCCUUUGAGAAAUACAAUCAGUGCCGUGAGUUUUCUUCAGAUUCUUCCUUUUGUGGCUCUCAAGAGACCUCCUCCACUGUGUUCAAGACUUUCACCACAGCCUGUGAAGGGGAGAGGAGCAUGGAAAUUCCAGUGGUGGCUCCAAGAUUUUGCCCAUUUGGACUGAAAGAGCCUGUUGGGUUGCCACCAGUUGCUUCAUCCCUGAGGAACACCAGGCAGGCACCUGCACUCUCAGAGGCAUCUCCCCCCUCCAUUGAUGAGCUGCCUCCACCAGCCCAAGAGCUGCUGGAUGAAAUUGAACACUUAAAGCAGCAAGAUUCCAUCACUCCAGACUUGGAAGGGAUGGGAUUGCAAGACUCCAGAGUGCAAGUGAAUGCUCUUGAUCAAGUUCAAAUGGAAAACAGAGAGUCAGGAGAAGAAUCUGAGAGAGAUGAGAAGACAAAUCAGAGUUUAUGGACUAAAGAGUCAUUUAAUCUAGCAGAGGAUACAGAAAGGGCUCACUCCAGCCUGGAUGAUGCUUUGGAGAGAAUGCUCCAUGCAGUUCCUGGGGAUGAGGAGAUCCAAGAGCAACCUCAGGGACACACUCUUGGGGCUGCCAGCCUGCAGGAUCCAGAAGAUGCUGGAAGGAAGAAUGGAGGAGAGGAGAGAGGAGCCUGGGCUGGAGGCAGAGCACCAGGAAGCUGUGCAGGGACUUCAGCAGGUGCCCUUUGUCUGUAGAGCUGCUGGAUGCACCCAAAGUUUGAAAUGUCCCAAAUCCCUGGUUACUUUUGGAAAUAUUGAUGAUGAGAGCAAGGAUCAGAAAUCCCACCCCCAGCAGCAGCUGGCUCCAGCUCCACCCUUCAGGAUAAUUGUUUUGGAUGAGAGCUCUCUCCAUGAUUAAAACACAGAGUGAAUAAGUGCUACACAUCACCUGCUUGCUGCUGCUUGCCCAGUGUUUAGUGUGUGAAUUACAGCCCUUUUUGGCCACAUAAACACCUGUAAAGCUCAGAUUUCCUUUAACAGCAGCAGCAAGUUCAGAAGAAAAUCCCAUGUUCUGUGUUCUGAAAUGGUUUGUACUGGUUUGAUGCCAUUGUUGCAUGCCCAGGCAGUGUCAAUGUGCAGAAGUGAGCUGUUUUUUUUACUGUCACAUCCUUAUGAAACUGCUUUUCAUUCUGCACGUGCACAUUUUCAUAAGCUAAAGAAUUCCAUGCUCUGUUGCAUUAUGCAGUUUUCAGAUUAAAGACAAAAUGAUUGUAAUUCUGUGGGCUGCUGGUGCUGCUCAGGCACUGAAAUGUUUCCAUGCUGGAGUGUUGCAGCCCAUGUAGUGUCUGUUUUUCCUUGCUCAUUAAAUUUAACAAGGUAAUUUCUUGUUUUCUCUUUACUUAGUGCUUUUGUGAUCUAGUGUUGAACUGAUUUGACUGAUUAAAGGGAUUAAUUGCUGUGCAAAAAGCUAAUGAGGAAAAGGCAGUGUUCUCCAGAGAUUGCAAGUGCAGCAAUAUGUUCCCUGCCAGCAUCAGACAAAAAUGUGAAAAAAAUGUGGUUGUUAUGAAGAUACCUGGUGUUUAAUUCAACCACAUUUUUGGUAGGCCUCGUCCAAAAAAACCCACCAAGAUCUCUGGAUAUAAUUGAGUUUUGGAUGUGAAUUUUAAUGGGCACAGCAAUUUCAAAUUUAACUAUUUUUUUGUGAGAAAUGCUGUUCAAGGUGCAGGAGUGAAGGUUGUCCUGUUCCCUGGGCUUUGAGCUGCUUUUGCACAUCUGGGAGCGUCAAGUAUUGCAUCUUCAUUCCUGCUUUUGUAAGGAACUGCUCUAAUUCUGUACCUGUUAAUUUAGUUUAACAACAUUAAUAAAAGUUUCCAAGGUUA